GACGAACGCUGGCGGCGUGCCUAAUACAUGCAGGUAGAACGCUGAAGAGAGGAGCUUGCUCUUCUUGGAUGAGUUGCGAACGGGUGAGUAACGCGUAGGUAACCUGCCUUGUAGCGGGGGAUAACUAUUGGAAACGAUAGCUAAUACCGCAUAACAAUGGAUGACACAUGUCAUUUAUUUGAAAGGGGCAAUUGCUCCACUACAAGAUGGACCUGCGUUGUAUUAGCUAGUAGGUGAGGUAAUGGCUCACCUAGGCGACGAUAUAUAGCCGACCUGAGAGGGUGAUCGGCCACACUGGGACUGAGACACGGCCCAGACUCCUACGGGAGGCAGCAGUAGGGAAUCUUCGGCAAUGGGGGCAACCCUGACCGAGCAACGCCGCGUGAGUGAAGAAGGUUUUCGGAUCGUAAAGCUCUGUUGUAAGUCAAGAACGGGUGUGAGAGUGGAAAGUUCACACUGUGACGGUAGCUUACCAGAAAGGGACGGCUAACUACGUG
rnacentral:rRNA from 1 species